AUUGAACGCUGGCGGCAUGCCUUACACAUGCAAGUCGAACGGCAGCGCGGACUUCGGUCUGGCGGCGAGUGGCGAACGGGUGAGUAAUACAUCGGAACGUACCCUGUUGUGGGGGAUAACUAGUCGAAAGAUUAGCUAAUACCGCAUACGACCUGAGGGUGAAAGUGGGGGACCGCAAGGCCUCACGCAGCAGGAGCGGCCGAUGUCUGAUUAGCUAGUUGGUGGGGUAAAGGCCCACCAAGGCGACGAUCAGUAGCUGGUCUGAGAGGACGACCAGCCACACUGGGACUGAGACACGGCCCAGACUCCUACGGGAGGCAGCAGUGGGGAAUUUUGGACAAUGGGGGCAACCCUGAUCCAGCAAUGCCGCGUGUGUGAAGAAGGCCUUCGGGUUGUAAAGCACUUUUGUCCGGAAAGAAAUCGCGCUGGUUAAUAAGCUGAGCUCAUGACGGUACCGUAAGAAUAAGCACCGGCUAACUACGUGCCAGCAGCCGCAGUAA
rnacentral:rRNA from 1 species